rnacentral:rRNA from 1 species
AUGAACGCUAGCGGCAGGCAUAAUACAUGCAAGUUGAACGGCAGCACAGGUAGCAAUACCGGGUGGCGAGUGGCGCACGGGUGCGUAACACGUAUGCAACCUACCCUAUACAGGCGAAUAACCUUUAGAAAUGAGGGCUAAUACGCCGUGGUAUUAUCUUGGGGCAUCUUGAGAUAAUUAAAGAUUUAUCGGUAUAGGAUGGGCAUGCGUCCCAUUAGUUAGUUGGUAGGGUAACGGCUACCAAGGCUAUGAUGGGUAGGGG